rnacentral:lncRNA from 1 species
UCCAGAGCUGUACGUCUUGCAUUCCUCUGCUUGUGGUCCUUCAUCUUCUAGAUCAGCACGGUGGUAUCUUGUUUCAAGGGAUCAUGUUGCCUCUUCUGCUGUCUCAAAGUUCCCCUCUGCCUCCCUCUUAGAAGGACACAUGUGAUGGCAUAUGGGGCCCACCAGCAUAACCCAGGAGAGAGAGCACAAGCAAGGGGAGCUUCAGCUGAGCAGGGAGCCAGAUGUGGGGCUUGAUCCCAGGACCCCCGGAUCAUGGCCGGAGCCAAAGGCAGAUACUUAGCUGACUGAACCACCCGGGCUCUCCAGGAGUGUACACCUUUGCUUGUCCCCUGCUGUCCAGCUCUGCAAAAGCGUAAGUGAAAAAAGAAGUUAAAAUGUAGAAUAUGGAUGGUAAUGGGC